AUCAAGAUGAGGUGACAUGUGUGGGGGUAAUAGAGGAGUUUCUCUCUCUGUGUGUGUGUCUCUGCCUGUGUCUACAUAACAGCCUCAAUUCGUACACAAUCCAUCUCUCAAUUGUCAAGGUUUAAAAAUCCUUCUUUAACCCGUCGUCUCUUCAUCUACACUGAAGUGGAUUGAACCAGUCACAUCAAUAAGGGAUCAUAGCUUUCACCUGGAUUCAACUGCAGGUCCACAUAUACCUUUGCAUCUGUAAUGAAAUGAACAGCAGAGGUUGUAGAUGUCAUCCCGCUGUUGAUCCUUGAAUCUACACAAAUAUAAAAAAGGACCUGGACGACUCCACAUAGUCAAGGGAAUUCUGAGGUAUACCAGGAGAUUCUUGAACAGAACAUCAUGCCAUCAGUCAAGGAGCUAAAGCUGGGCCGAAAAUGGUCUUGCAACAAGACAACGACACAAAGCAUUCAAGCAAAUCAACCAAAGAAUGGCUCAGGAGAAAGAAGACUUGUUUUGGAUUGGACAAGUCAAAGUCCUGACCUAAAACCAAUUUAGAGGCUGUUGCAGGACCUGAAGCAGGCAGUUCAUGCCAGACAACCCUCGAACCUCACUCAAUUGGCUAAGUUCUGGAGGAGCGGGAAAAAAAUCCCUCAAAACAGAUGUCAGAGACUGAUUACUGGCUAUAGGAGACGUUUACUCCAAGUUAUCGCUGCUAUUGACCUAGGGGGUUCACAUUUUUUCACAUUUCAAAUCUGAGUUUGACCAAUAAACCACUUGUUAAAUAAACAAUGAAAAUAUAUUUUGUUUCUGUCAUUUACUUGGAAUAUAGUUAUUACGAAUUGG
rnacentral:lncRNA from 1 species